AACGAACGCUGGCGGCAUGCCUAACACAUGCAAGUCGAACGGGAUCCUAGCUUGCUAGGUGAGAGUGGCGGACGGGUGAGUAACACGUGGGAAUCUGCCUUUUGGUUCGGGAUAACCGCGGGAAACUGCGGCUAAUACCGAAUGCCCUCGAGAGAGGAAAGAUUUAUCGCCAGAAGAGGAGCCCGCGUCCGAUUAGGUAGUUGGUGGGGUAAAAGGCCUACCAAGCCGACGAUCGGUAGCUGGUCUGAGAGGAUGAUCAGCCACACUGGGACUGAGAUACGGCCCCAGACUCCUACGGGAGGCAGCAGUGGGGAAUAUUGGACAAUGGGGGCAACCCUGAUCCAGCAAUGCCGCGUGAGUGAUGAAGGCCUUAGGGUUGUAAAGCUCUUUGCCAGGGAGAUGAUGACUGUACCUGGAG
rnacentral:rRNA from 1 species